ACACUUACAUGGCAGGGGAGACACCAUGAUCAGGCAGGUGGUUUUCCCAGGGUGAGGCUCUUCCAUUGCACUGUGGGAGUUCUGAUCCCUGCAAUUUCCCCAAAUGUGGGAAACUCAACUGCAUAAUUUGUGGUAGUGGGGGACUGCGUUCACGCUCUCCCCUG